UACGUAGGGGGCUAGCGUUGUCCGGAUUUAUUGGGCGUAAAGAGCUCGUAGGUGGUUCGGUAAGUCGGAUGUGAAAUCUCCAGGCUCAACCUGGAGGGGUCAUUCGAUACUGCCGUGACUAGAGGUCGGUAGGGGAGUGUGGAAUUCCUGGUGGAGCGGUGAAAUGCGCAGAUAUCAGGAGGAACACCGGUGGCGAAGGCGGGAUCCUGGGCCAGUACUGACGCUGAGGAGCGAAAGCGUGGGGAGCAAACAGG
rnacentral:rRNA from 1 species